GACAGAGGGUGCAAACGUUGUUCGGAAUUACUGGGCGUAAAGCGCGUGUAGGCUGCUUGGAAAGUCGGAUGUGAAAGCCCUGGGCUCAACCUAGGAAGUGCAUUCGAAACUUCUGAGCUGGAGUGCUGGAGAGGAAGGCGGAAUUCUCGGUGUAGAGGUGAAAUUCGUAGAUAUCGAGAGGAACACCGGUGGCGAAGGCGGCCUUCUGGACAGUAACUGACGCUGAGGCGCGACAGCGUGGGGAGCAAACAGG
rnacentral:rRNA from 1 species